CAAUAGCGUAUAUUAAAGUUGUUGCAGUUAAAAAGCUCGUAGUUGAAUUUCGGGUCCCCGCGCUCGGCGCUUCAUUGUGCCGUCGUGGUGUCCCUCCUCGCCGUAAGGCGUCCUUUACUGUGAAAAAAUUAGAGUGUUCAAAGCAGGCAAUCGCUUGAAUACAUUAGCAUGGAAUAAUAAGAUAGGAUCUUGUCUAUUUUGUUGGUUGCGGACAACGAUAAUGAUUAAUAGGGAUAGUUGGGGGUGUCCGUAUUGAGCAGUCAGAGGUGAAAUUCUUGGAUUUGCUCAAGACGAACUACUGCGAAAGCAUUCACCAAGGAUGUUUUCAUUAA
rnacentral:rRNA from 1 species